rnacentral:rRNA from 1 species
UGCAGUCGAGGGGUAUGCUUCUUCGGGAGCAGAGACCGGCGCACGGGUGCGUAACGCGUAUGCAAUCUACCUUUUACAGAGGGAUAGCCCAGAGAAAUUUGGAUUAAUACCUCAUAGUAUAGUACAAUCGCAUGAUUGAACUAUUAAAGUCACAACGGUAAAAGAUGAGCAUGCGUCCCAUUAGCUAGUUGGUAAGGUGACGGCUUACCAAGGCUACGAUGGGUAGGGGUCCUGAGAGGGAGAUCCCCCACACUGGUACUGAGACACGGACCAGACUCCUACGGGAGGCAGCAGUGAGGAAUAUUGGACAAUGGGCGCAAGCCUGAUCCAGCCAUGCCGCGUGCAGGAUGACGGUCCUAUGGAUUGUAAACUGCUUUUAUACGAGAAGAAACACUCCUUCGUGAAGGAGCUUGGCGGUAUCGUAAGAAUAAGGAUCGGCUAACUCCGUGCCAGCAGCCGCGGUAAUACGGAGGAUCCAAGCGUUAUCCGGAAUCAUUGGGUUUAAAGGGUCCGUAGGCGGUUUAAUAAGUCAGUGGUGAAAGCCCAUCGCUCAACGGUGGAACGGCCAUUGAUACUGUUAGACUUGAAUUAUUAGGAAGUAACUAGAAUAUGUAGUGUAGCGGUGAAAUGCUUAGAGAUUACAUGGAAUACCAAUUGCGAAGGCAGGUUACUACUAAUUGAUUGACGCUGAUGGACGAAAGCGUGGGUAGCGAACAGGAUUAGAUACCCUGGUAGUCCACGCCGUAAACGAUGGAUACUAGCUGUUGGGAGCAAUUUCAGUGGCUAAGCGAAAGUGAUAAGUAUCCCACCUGGGGAGUACGUUCGCAAGAAUGAAACUC